CAGUAGCCGCGGGAAUACGUAGGGUGCGAGCGUUAAUCGGAAUUACUGGGCGUAAAGCGUGCGCAGGCGGUUGUACAAGACAGAUGUGAAAUCCCCGGGCUUAACCUGGGAAUGGCAUUUGUGACUGUACGGCUAGAGUGUGUCAGAGGGGGGUAGAAUUCCACGUGUAGCAGUGAAAUGCGUAGAUAUGUGGAGGAAUACCGAUGGCGAAGGCAGCCCCCUGGGAUAACACUGACGCUCAUGCACGAAAGCGUGGGGAGCAAACAGGAUUAGAUACCCCAGUAGUCCCUGUCUCUUAUAC
rnacentral:rRNA from 1 species